rnacentral:lncRNA from 1 species
AUGGAAACAGGUGGACCAGCGGCCCGAGCGCGUCCUGCUGAGCCUCCCGCCCAGCUCCAGAUCGUCCUGAGAGGUUGUGAACGUGGCACGGCUCUCGCUGGCCCAACACAGUUUAACUCAAUUUUCACAACUGCUGCGUUCAAAGGAGCAGAUUGGCACAGGGCUCUCCAGAUAGACAAUGGGGAGGGCGAGCAGAAGGUGCUGUCCGGGGCAUCGUCGAUGUGUGCUUCAACCUGUGUCUGGAGACGUGGGCACCCCCGGGAAUGGAAGAGACCCUGGGCCCAGGAAUUGCAGCCACCAAGGAUGGCAGCAGCCCAGAGCAGACCUCAUCUGGCCACGAUGAAAAAUGAUGUGAUGCAGUUUUUUAUUCUGCGCCCGACUCUCCUCUGUGGUUCACUGACUGCAAGCUCCACAGAGGUCGUGACACGAGGAACAGAAGUGUUUGGAAACAGCCCAGGAACAACUUUCGGCUUGGCCCGCGUAUGCCCAGGAAAACAAAACCGCUAAUUGCUACCCCCUCUGCUCCGGCUCUGUCUGGGAGGAGCCCUGGGCGGGCGGGCAGGCGCACAGGGAACGCGCACUUUUGCAGGCGAACGUUACAGAGCCGUCAGGUGAGCCGAGCGCACCAGGUGCCCGGCUGCCCCGGACGGUGGGCUGUGCGGGUUCACAUUCUGACAGCAAACAGCUGUAGAUGCUCUUACGCCUAAUUCAAAUAAUGAAAUCAAUAGGCUACACCACAGUUUCAAGUUUCCACAAACAAACUUGUAUGAAAAAUGAUAUUAAUUUAUCUGGGGUGACUUCAGCCAAGAAAUAGAUUAUUCUCUGUCACUUCUGAGGGGCAGGGCAAAAAACAAAAUCUGAACUAUUACCAAAAAAAUGUCGCUUGGAGAGUCGAGGGGCCUAAUAAGCAAAAUGUGUCUUUUCAGUUUAGAUUAAUCACGAUUGCUUGUUUGUUCAUUCUGCGGCUGCGACCAUGUUUGAAAUGCUAAUAAAUUGGGUUCCCUUUUCA